AGCAGGAAGGGUGUGGUUACAAGAGAAAGAUAGAUAUGAAGUGUGUAAUAGUAGUACUUGUCUGUUUUUUGGUAGCAGCUCAGUGCGUACCACUUAAUAAAAGAGAAGCAGCAACUGACAAGGAAAACUACAAGGUUCUACUGAAAGAUUUGACUGAUCCCUCUGCAACUGAUGGCAAAAAACUCAUGUGGAAUGCCGUUAAAAUAGCACAAAUAUAUCUGUGCAGUGUUGGUGCAGACGAUUGUGAAGCCUUAAAAGAAUACCUCCAAGAGGAAGAUAUGGAGGAGAAGAAACUUGGUGACCAAGAGACCAAGGAUGGUUUGAUCAAUGAUGCUGAUAAAAUCAUGAAAAAAACUCAUAAAGACUUCGUGAUGAUGGACAAAAUCAGGAUUGUUUUAAUAGAAUUGAUCUGCAGGAACGAACCAGACCAAUGUGACUUCUGGAGAAAUUACGAGGGAGAUGCUGAAAAGUGGGAAGAUAGUGUCCAGCCAGGUCCUCAUCCUAAAUAAAAAGGGUAAAUAAGAAAACAAGCAUUUCAAGAAAACAAACAACGUUCCUACAGUAAAAUAUGAAUAUUAAGUUACAACUUGAACACUUCUUUUGUAGUCUGGUUUAUUAGUACCUAUACAGUAUACAAUAUACAUUUGUAUUGUGCAUUGUGCAAUGACAUCAUAGUGUGUAGAAAAGAACAGUUUUGACAUUUUAUUUUGAUACUAGCUAUGAAAUCGAUAGUGAUAAUUUAAUACUAGAUUUGGAAAAAAGAUGUUUGGUGUAUUUUAGUUUACUUAACAAACAGAAAUAAAAUAGUCUCUUUUUUAGCAUGUGUAACCUUUUAGUUUGUGUAUUGGUAACAGUUGCUCUCUUAUCAGUAAAA